GUAGAAAAGCAGGGCUCGAACCUGCACCAAGGGGCUCAAAACCCCAUGUACUCCCACUAUACUACUCUCU
rnacentral:tRNA from 1 species